rnacentral:rRNA from 1 species
GGCCCGGGCAACAUCGUCAAACUGCGGGAAAGCCCUGCCACGACUACCGGGACCCCACCGCCCCAGCAAUGGGAGCGGGUGCCUGCGGCUAACGGCUGCGGGUACGGUAAAGCACCGAAGUCUAGGGGCAAUCCGCCGCCAAACCCUCCCCGCUCCGGGAGGGCCCAGCUCACAGGCCAGACGGCGAUGGGCGCAGUCGCGCUUAAGAUAUGGUCGAGUGAUCCGUCGAGAGGCGGGUGCAACUCUGGAACGUCCGUAGGUGAACCUGCGGAAGGAUCAUU